UACAGAGGGUGCGAGCGUUAAUCGGAAUUACUGGGCGUAAAGCGUGCGUAGACGGCUAUCUAAGUCGGGUGUGAAAGCCCCGGGCUCAACCUGGGAAUUGCAUUCGAGACUGAAUAGCUAGGGUACGGUAGAGGGAAGUGGAAUUUCCGGUGUAGCGGUGAAAUGCGUAGAUAUCGGAAGGAACAUCAGUGGCGAAAGCGACUUCCUGGACCAGUACCGACGUCAG
rnacentral:rRNA from 1 species